AAUCAACGCUGGCGGCGUGCCUCAGACAUGCAAGUCGAACGCGAAAGUUCCCUUCGGGGAGCGAGUAGAGUGGCGUCCGGGUGAGUAACACGUAGGUAAUCUACCUUUGGGUGGGGAAUAACAACCGGAAACGGUUGCUAAUACCGCAUAAUGCAGCGGCACCGCAUGGUGACAGUUGUUAAAGCGGGGGAGUCGCAAGACCUCGCGCCUAAAG
rnacentral:rRNA from 1 species